rnacentral:rRNA from 1 species
CAGUAGCCGCGGGAAUACGUAGGGUGCAAGCGUUAAUCGGAAUUACUGGGCGUAAAGCGUGCGCAGGCGGUUAUAUAAGACAGAUGUGAAAUCCCCGGGCUCAACCUGGGAACUGCAUUUGUGACUGUAUAGCUAGAGUACGGCAGAGGGGGAUGGAAUUCCGCGUGUAGCAGUGAAAUGCGUAGAUAUGCGGAGGAACACCGAUGGCGAAGGCAAUCCCCUGGGCCUGUACUGACGCUCAUGCACGAAAGCGUGGGGAGCAAACAGGAUUAGAUACCACCGUAGUCCCUGUCUCUUAUAC